ACUACGGGAGGCAGCAGUGGGGAAUAUUGCACAAUGGGGGAAACCCUGAUGCAGCGACGCCGCGUGAGUGAAGAAGUAUUUCGGUAUGUAAAGCUCUGUCAGCAGGGAAGAAAAUGACGGUACCUGACCAAGAAGCCCCGGCUAACUACGUGCCAGCAGCCGCGGUAAUACGUAGGGGGCAAGCGUUAUCCGGAUUUACGGGGUGGAAAGGGAGCGUAGACGGCAGGGCAAGUAUGGAGUGAAAGGCGGGGGCGCAACCCCCGGACUGCUCUGGAAACUGCCAGGCUGGAGUGCAGGAGAGGUAAGUGGAAUUCCUGGUGUAGCGGUGAAAUGCGGAGAUAGUAGGAGGAACACCAG
rnacentral:rRNA from 1 species